GUGCUUGCUUCGUCAGUACAUAUACUAAAGUUGGAAUGAUGCAGAGUUUAGCAUGACCCCUGCACAAGGAUGACAUGCAAAUUCGUGAAGCAUUCCAUAUUUUU